rnacentral:rRNA from 1 species
UACGGAAGGUCCGGGCGUUAUCCGGAUUUAUUGGGUUUAAAGGGAGCGUAGGCCGGAGAUUAAGCGUGUUGUGAAAUGUAGAUGCUCAACAUCUGAACUGCAGCGCGAACUGGUUUCCUUGAGUACGCACAAAGUGGGCGGAAUUCGUGGUGUAGCGGUGAAAUGCUUAGAUAUCACGAAGAACUCCGAUUGCGAAGGCAGCUCACUGGAGCGCAACUGACGCUGAAGCUCGAAAGUGCGGGUAUCAAACAGG